rnacentral:rRNA from 1 species
CUCCUACGGGAGGCCGCAGUAGGGAAUCUUGCGCAAUGGGCGAAAGCCUGACGCAGCAACGCCGCGUGGGGGACGAAGGCUUUCUGAGUUGUAAACCCCUUUCAGCAGGGACGAUUGUGACGGUACCUGCAGAAGAAGCACCGGCCAACUACGUGCCAGCAGCCGCGGUAAUUC